rnacentral:tRNA from 1 species
UAUGGUAAUUAGUUUCAACUAAAACAAAUGAUUUCGACUCAUUAGAUUAUGAACUACUCAUAAUUACCAAU